UACGAAGGGGGCUAGCGUUGCUCGGAAUUACUGGGCGUAAAGGGCGCGUAGGCGGCCUGUUAAGUCGAACGUGAAAUCCCCAGGCUCAACCCGGGAACUGCGUCCGAUACUGGCAGGCUUGAAUCCGGGAGAGGGAUGUGGAAUUCCAGGUGUAGCGGUGAAAUGCGUAGAUAUCUGGAGGAACACCGGUGGCGAAGGCGGCACCCUGGACCGGUAUUGACGCUGAGGCGCGAAAGCCAGGGGAGCAAACGGG
rnacentral:rRNA from 1 species